rnacentral:rRNA from 1 species
UUCCAGACUCCUACGGGAGGCAGCAGUGGGGAAUAUUGCACAAUGGGGGAAACCCUGAUGCAGCGACGCCGCGUGAGUGAAGAAGUAUUUCGGUAUGUAAAGCUCUCUCAGCAGGGAAGAAAAUGACGGUACCUGAUUAAGAAGCCCCGGCUAACUACGUGCCGGCAGCCGCGGUAAUACGUAGGGGGCAAGCGUUAUCCGGAUUUACUGGGUGUAAAGGGAGCGUAGACGGCAGCGCAAGUCUGAAGUGAAAUGCCCGGGCUUAACCCCGGAACUGCUUUGGAAACUGUGCAGCUAGAGUGCAGGAGAGGUAAGUGGAAUUCCUAGUGUAGCGGUGAAAUGCGUAGAUAUUAGGAGGAACACCAGUGGCGAAGGCGGCUUACUGGACUGUAACUGACGUUGAGGCUCGAAAGCGUGGGGAGCAAACAGGAUUAGAUACCCGCGUAG